rnacentral:siRNA from 1 species
AGCUAACCAAGUUGUUGUCUCUCC